GACAGAGGGUGCAAACGUUGUUCGGAAUUACUGGGCGUAAAGCGUGUGUAGGCGGCCGCGCAAGUCGGAUGUGAAAGCCCUGGGCUCAACUCAGGAAGUGCACCCGAUACUGCGUGGCUCGAGUACCGGAGAGGUUGGUGGAAUUCUCGGUGUAGAGGUGAAAUUCGUAGAUAUCGAGAGGAACACCUGUGGCGAAGGCGACCUCUGGACGGAUACUGACGCUGAGACGCGAAAGCGUGGGUAGCAAACAGG
rnacentral:rRNA from 1 species